rnacentral:rRNA from 1 species
GAUGAACGCUAGCGGCAGGCUUAAUACAUGCAAGUCGUGGGGCAGCAUGAAGUAGCAAUACUUUGAUGGCGACCGGCAAACGGGUGCGGUACACGUACACAACCUUCCUUUUAGUGGGGAAUAGCCCAGAGAAAUUUGGAUUAAUACCCCGUAACAUAGCGAUGUGGCAUCACAUUGCUAUUAUAGCUUCGGCGCUAGAUGAUGGGUGUGCGUAUGAUUAGAUAGUUGGCGAGGUAACGGCUAACCAAGUCUACGAUCAUUAGCUGAUGUGAGAGCAUGAUCAGCCACACGGGCACUGAGACACGGGCCCGACUCCUACGGGAGGCAGCAGUAAGGAAUAUUGGUCAAUGGACGAAAGUCUGAACCAGCCAUGCCGCGUGAAGGAUUAAGGUCCUCUGGAUUGUAAACUUCUUUUAUAUGGGACGAAAAAAGGUCUUUCUAGAUCACUUGACGGUACCAUAUGAAUAAGCACCGGCUAACUCCGUGCCAGCCGCCGCGGUAAUAC